CCUACGGGUGGCAGCAGUGGGGAAUAUUGCACAAUGGGGGAAACCCUGAUGCAGCGACGCCGCGUGAGUGAAGAAGUAUUUCGGUAUGUAAAGCUCUAUCAGCGGGGAGGAAGGAAGACGGUACCUGACUAAGAAGCCCCGGCUAACUACGUGCCAGCAGCCGCGGUAAUACGUAGGGGGCAAGCGUUAUCCGGAUUUACUGGGUGUAAAGGGAGCGUAGACGGCUGUGCAAGUCUGAAGUGAAAGCCCCGGGCUCAACCUUGGGACUGCUUUGGAAACUGUGGAGCUAGAGUGUUGGAGAGGUAAGUGGAAUUCCUAGUGUAGCGGUGAAAUGCGUAGAUAUUAGGAGGAACACCAGUGGCGAAGGCGGCUCACUGGACAGUAACUGACGCUGAGGUUCGAAAGCGUGGGGAGCAAACAGGAUUAGAUACCCCUGUAGUC
rnacentral:rRNA from 1 species